CAGAAGAUAGUUUAAUGAGAAUGCCAGCUUUGGGAGUUGGUGGCAGAGGUUCGAGUCCUCUUUUUCUGA
rnacentral:tRNA from 1 species